UGAGUCCUCCUUUUCUUUUUGCAACUGACA
rnacentral:piRNA from 1 species